rnacentral:rRNA from 1 species
AAGUAGGUAGCUUAACCUUCGGGAGGGCGCUUACCACUUUGUGAUUCAUGACUGGGGUGAAGUCGUAACAAGGUAACCGUAGGGGAACCUGCGGUUGGAACACCUCCUUACCUUAAAGAAGC